GGAGGUACGUCGGCCGGUCGACCACGUCAGAGCCAAUGAACAGCUCUCCCUGGGCAGCUACACCCACAAUUCAUUACAGCAGGGUGAAUAUUCAUGUAUCGGCCUCUGCGAUGACGAAACACCUGAAUCUUACCCGCGCUAUUCAAAGGCGAAUGAAUAGACUGUGUGCUCCUGACAUACCAAGCAAAACAGCUAAUGUGAGUUGAGACAGUCCUGCACUGUUUGUGUUACUUGGUAUGUCACGAGCACACCGGGGGUUUCGUCAUCACAGAGGCCGAUACAUGAAUAUUCACCCUGCUGUAAUGAAUCAGAAUAAAGGAAACCUCUGAACACUAAUUUGAACGUCUAAAGGUUUCACAUAUAAGUCAGAGCCAGCGCCGAGUAAGACGUCAAAUCUGCCAGAUCUAGAGACGCUAUUUCACCAGGGUUACAUAAAACUUCCAUCAAUUUCAAGAUGAUUUUCAAGCUGAUGCUUAUUUUGACUGUUGUGACCACCACGACAGCAUAUUUUGGUGGGAUCCCUGCGUCUGCAUUAAAAGACAAACACAAAGAUUGUCCGGAAAAGUACUUUUGGUCGUUUUCACGACGCAGUAUUUGUCUGACAAAAGAACAAUAUUCGAAAGAUGAUGUGGAUUCAGCCGAAGCCUACUGUCAAAGUAUUGGUUCGUCACUUUGUUCCCUAAAGCAGAUGAAAGAAGCUUGGUUGGCAGGACUCUUUGACGAGCGCUGGGGCAUGUACAACGUGAAGGGUCGUGAUGCAAUGGUUGAUUAUUGUCGACGUUACGAAGGACCUGAAUGUUACAUCUCGACAAUGAAACUCCUCACAUCUGUGAAGAUCAUCCCAAACACCCCCCGCCCUAACUCCCGGCUGCCCGCUUACUGCUGUAGCUAGUCCCAAACACCCUCCGCCCUAACUCCCGGCUACCCGCUUACUGCUGUAGCUAGUCCCAAACACUCCCCGUCCUAAUUCACGGCUACCCGCUUAGAAACGUCGAAUAGAUCAAAUAAACAGCAAAAACAAAUCCUCAACAUUGUUCGGUUCAGUGUUCAGGCUAAAGUCCUUGUCAGUGUGAAGUUUAAAAUAUCAUAAUUUAAAAUUGUAACAUUCGUGCGGAUCAGCCAUUCGUUCCAGUCAGCCAUAGAGGGCGCCGCUCCGCUGGAAGUUUUUGAGGCCGGUGUACAUUACGUCAUCCGAUGUUUCCGGAUUAUAGGAAAAGAUGGAAUACCAGUUUUUAAGUUAAAAUGUAUUUAUUUUUAAAACGUGUUUUACUAUGAUUUUUAUUACUAUGAUUUUUAUUAUGA